rnacentral:rRNA from 1 species
UAGCGGCAGGCUUAACACAUGCAAGUCGAGGGGCAGCGCGGGGUAGCAAUACCCUGGCGGCGACCGGCGAAAGGGUGAGUAACGCGUGAGCAACGUGCCCGUAUGUGGGGGAUAGUCAUUAGAAAUGAUGCGUAAUACCCCGUAACACAUGGAUCCGCAUGGUUCCAUGUUGAAAGAUUUAUUGCAUACGGAUCGGCUCGCGUGCCAUUAGCUAGAUGGCGGGGUAACGGCCCACCAUGGCGACGAUGGCUAGGGGUUCUGAGAGGAAGGUCCCCCACAUUGGAACUGAGACACGGUCCAGACUCCUACGGGAGGCAGCAGUGAGGAAUAUUGGACAAUGGCCGGAAGGCUGAUCCAGCCAUGCCGCGUGCGGGAAGACGGCCCUAUGGGUUGUAAACCGCUUUUGCGGGGGAGCAAUAAGAGCAACGCGUUGCUCGAUGAGAGUACCCUGCGAAUAAGCAUCGGCUAACUCCGUGCC